rnacentral:rRNA from 1 species
CAGUAGCCGCGGGAAUACAGAGGGUGCAAGCGUUAAUCGGAAUUACUGGGCGUAAAGCGCGCGUAGGUGGUUUGUUAAGUUGGAUGUGAAAUCCCCGGGCUCAACCUGGGAACUGCAUCCAAAACUGGCAAGCUAGAGUAUGGUAGAGGGUGGUGGAAUUUCCUGUGUAGCGGUGAAAUGCGUAGAUAUAGGAAGGAACACCAGUGGCGAAGGCGACCACCUGGACUGAUACUGACACUGAGGUGCGAAAGCGUGGGGAGCAAACAGGAUUAGAGACCCCCGUAGUCCCUGUCUCUUAUAC